AUCUUAACUUGUUAGAAACAAUGAUUGUUCCAAAAGUGUGAAUCCAGAAGACUGGCAUACAUAUGGUAAGUAGAGGACGCACAUAAAAGCUCCUGAUAUACCCUCAGCUUUGGGUUUUAUUAAUUUUGGUGCUGUUACAUCACUGGGAAACCAUGAGCACCUUGCCAUACAAGGCUGGGUUUUUUUGUUUGCUGUUUCAAGGCCAGAAUAUAUGCUCUGAUAUUAACAGUGACUUCAAUCUUUAUUUUCAGUGUCAGAAGUUGGUCAGAAACUGCUUCAUGGAACCAUUUCUUAAUGACCUUGCAACUUGAUUUUCUUCCUGCAGCACUAGAAAUGACUGUACAAAGUGUCCUGGACACACCAUGAAUUCCCCAACAGAACCUGAUGCAUCAUUUUGUCAAAAGAAAGACAUACAUCUCCAUGCUUUUUGCUACUCAGCACUGAUCUUUCCCUAGGUCAUCACAUGCAGUGAGAAGAUUUUGGAACAGCAGCCACUUAAAAAAUAAAAUCAACAACAAAAAGCAACAGAAGAGUA